rnacentral:lncRNA from 1 species
CUCCAUUGAUUCCAAUUUGUUGUUACCUCACAAAAGUCAUCAGCAUGCACUCGUGAAACUACUGCAGAGCUAAUUGCUCUCCAGUCUACACUCUGAGUAUGAAUGCCCAGGCACAACAUCUCAUGCCUCAAAGCCUAAGUAAGAAAGUGCAGGAAUAAGAACCCAAGGGGGACUGGAAACUCCAGGGAUGACUGCAAAAGGGGAAAGUUUUUGCUACAAAGGAAGAAAUUGCCAUGGCUUUGGUCUCCAGUAGCUUUGAAAAAAAACUGA